AACGAACGCUGGCGGCAUGCCUAACACAUGCAAGUCGAACGAGACCUUCGGGUCUAGUGGCGCACGGGUGCGUAACGCGUGGGAACCUGCCCUUAGGUUCGGAAUAACUCCCCGAAAGGGGUGCUAAUACCGGAUAAUGUCUUCGGACCAAAGAUUUAUCGCCUUUGGAUGGGCCCGCGUUGGAUUAGCGAGUUGGUAGGGUAAAAGCCUACCAAGGCGAAGAUCCAUAGCUGGUCUGAGAGGAUGAUCAGCCACACUGGGACUGAGACACGGCCCAGACUCCUACGGGAGGCAGCAGUGGGGAAUAUUGGACAAUGGGCGAAAGCCUGAUCCAGCAAUGCCGCGUGAGUGAUGAAGGCCUUAGGGUUGUAAAGCUCUUUUACCCGGGAUGAUAAUGACAGUACCGGGAGAAUAAGCUCCGGCUAACUCCGUG
rnacentral:rRNA from 1 species